AAUGAGGCAAAGGUUGGGGAAGCUGAGAGACUAACAUAAGGGAUCUGAGAAUCACUUCCACAAUAAAGGAGGCUUAGAAAAGGGAGUAGAACGGUGACAAAGGUGGAGGAGAAUCGGCCAGGGAAGGUGGAGGGAAGUGGGGAAUGACUGAGAGAAAAGUUGAGGGGAAUUGGGCCAACAACUAAGGAAAGGUUUGGGAGGAGUAGAUAUUAUCAGAGUUCUAAUAUCUGCACUGUGAGAACUAGAUACUAGAAAAGCUGAGGGGGGUAGAAAACACUCGAGACAGGGCUGGAGAAGGAAAGAGGAGAACUAGGAAGCAGACGAUUCUAGAGAAUUCCCAGAGGUGUAAAGACAGAUUCAGCGAAUGAGAGGUGAGAUUAGGUCUCUUAAGGGAGAAUGAGAAAGUUUAGGGAGUAGGCCUAAGGUAAGGUGGAGAACAUAGCCACGAAGAUUGUUAAGGGUAGUAGGAAUGUGCUGAGAAGCUGGACAGGAUAAGGGAGAGAGAAGAAGGAGAGGACUGAAGAAUUUACAGAGUGAGAAGCUGGACAGGAUAAGGGAGAGAGAAGAAGGAGAGAACUGAAGAAUUUACAGAGUGACCAUAGGCUCUAAAGAUUGAGAGAUGACUAUAAAUACGGUUUGGUGAAUGGAAGUGCUGCAGUUGUAAGGUCUGGGAAGCUUAGAGGAAGAUUUGGGCAAUCAGUUUUUGCUGGGCUAGUAGAUCUGAGGGAAGCGACGUACUGGCCUAAGACUUUGAAUUAGUGAAGCAUUGGGAGUUCGAGAAAUAGUUUGCUGGAAAGGAAGGAGAGCCAUGUAGA
rnacentral:lncRNA from 1 species